rnacentral:rRNA from 1 species
AGAGUGGCGAUCACUUAGUAAUUAAAGAAUUUAUUGGACAGAGAUGAGCGUGCGUCCCAUUAGCUAGUUGGUGCGGUAACGGCGUACCAAGGCGACGAUGGGUAGCUGGUGUGAGAGCACGACCAGCCACACGGGCACUGAGACACGGGCCCGACUCCUACGGGAGGCAGCAGUGAGGAAUAUUGGUCAAUGGGCGGAAGCCUGAACCAGCCAUGCCGCGUGAAGGAUGAAGGCGUUCUGCGUUGUAAACUUCUUUUAUUUGGGAAGAAAAUUGUGGUUUCUACUGCAACCGACGGUACCAGAUGAAUAAGCACCGGCUAACUCCGUG